rnacentral:rRNA from 1 species
CGACCGGCGCACGGGUGAGUAAUGCGUAUGCAAUCUGCCUUAAACCGGGGGAUAGCUCCGAGAAAUCGGAAUUAAUACCCCAUAACAUUGCGGUUUCGCAUGUUUCUGCAAUUAAAGCUCCGGCGGUUUAAGAUGAGCAUAUGUGCCAUUAGUUAGUUGGUAGGGUAACGGCCUACCAAGACGAUGAUGGCUAGGGGGUCUGAGAGGAUGAUCCCCCACACUGGUACUGAGACACGGACCAGACUCCUACGGGAGGCAGCAGUGAGGAAUAUUGGUCAAUGGGCGCAAGCCUGAACCAGCCAUGCCGCGUGAAGGAUUGAAGGUCCUAUGGAUUGUAAACUUCUUUUGUACAGGAAUAAUUUCCUGGUCGUGACCGGGAUUGAAUGUACUGUACGAAUAAGCAUCGGCUAACUACGUGCCAGCAGCCGCGGUAAUACGUAGGAUGCAAGCGUUAUCCGGAUUCACUGGGUUUAAAGGGUGCGUAGGUGGAAUUGUAAGUCAAAGGUGAAAGCCUGCAGCCUAACUGCAGAAGUGCCUUUGAUACUGCAAAUCUUGAGUGCAGUUGAGGUAGGCGGAAUGUGUAAUGUAGCGGUGAAAUGCUUAGAUAUUACACAGAACACCGAUUGCGAAGGCAGCUUACUAAACUGUUACUGACACUGAGGCACGAAAGCGUGGGGAUCAAACAGGAUUAGAUACCCUGGUAGUCCACGCUGUAAACGAUGAUCACUCGUUGUUGGCGAUACACAGUCAGCGACCAAGCGAAAGCGUUAAGUGAUCCACCUGGGGAGUACGAUCGCAAGGUUGAAACUCAAAGGAAUUGACGGGGGCCCGCACAAGCGGAGGAACAUGUGGUUUAAUUCGAUGAUACGCGAGGAACCUUACCUGGGCUCGAACGUGAGUGGAAUAACUGGGAAACUGGUUAGCUCUUCGGAGCCGCUUACGAGGUGCUGCAUGGUUGUCGUCAGCUCGUGCCGUGAGGUAUCGGGUUAAGUCCCAUAACGAGCGCAACCCCUAUUGUUAGUUGCCAGCGGAUAAUGCCGGGGACUCUAACAAAACUGCCUGUGUAAGCAGGAGGAAGGUGGGGAUGACGUCAAAUCAGCACGGCCCUUACGUCCAGGGCGACACACGUGUUACAAUGGCAGGUACAGAGGGCAGCUACCACGCGAGUGGAUGCAAAUCUCCAAAGCCUGUCUUAGUUCGGAUCGAAGUCUGCAAUUCGACUUCGUGAAGCAGGAUUCGCUAGUAAUCGCGCAUCAGCCAUGGCGCGGUGAAUACGUUCCCGGGCCUUGUACACACUGCCCGUCAAGCCAUGGAAGUUG